rnacentral:rRNA from 1 species
CCUACGGGUGGCAGCAGUGAGGAAUAUUGGUCAAUGGUCGGGAGACUGAACCAGCCAAGCCGCGUGAGGGAUGAAGGUACAGAGUAUCGUAAACCUCUUUUGUCAGGGAACAAAGGCGGGGACGUGUCCCCGGAUGAGUGUACCUGAAGAAAAAGCAUCGGCUAACUCCGUGCCAGCAGCCGCGGUAAUACGGAGGAUGCGAGCGUUAUCCGGAUUUCUUGGGUUUAAGGGGUGCGCAGGCGGUCUGUUAAGUCAGCGUUCAAAGCCCGGGGCGCAACCCCGGCCCGCCGUUGAAACUGGCAGUCUCGAGUUGGAGAGAAGUAGGCGGAAUGCGCGGUGUAGCGGUGAAAUGCAUAGAUAUCGCGCAGAACUCCGAUUGCGAAGGCAGCAUGCCGGCUCCACACUGACGCUGAGGCACGAAAGCGUGGGUAUCGAACAGGAUUAGAUACCCCUGUAGUC